CUGGCGUGUUUGUGCUAACUUGACAGAAUAUUGUUUAUCAAGGUUUGUCGUCUGAACUGAGCGAUUUCGAAACCUGAUUAGUCUAGACUCUAGAUUCUAGGUAGUAAAGAAUGGACGAAUUUGAAACAAUUGGUGAUGAUUUGUCUGGAACCGUGGAAGAGUUGCUCAAUGGAGAGCCGACGGUUAUUAGACCGAGCUUGAAUCUAGAUCAAGCAACUUGGGAAGGCUGGUUCAAUAAUAUCAUUCUCUACGCUGCCCAGAACCCUUGGGAUUUCAUAUAUUAUGUUCUCCUGUGUCUGUCUCCCUUUUUUCUACUGUCUGUUUUUCUGUCAAUGAAGCUUGCCAAAGCUCUGGAAGCCCAGGAGAAAGACUCAAAGCGCAAAGCAAAACGAGACACCAAUAUCUCCAAAACAAGAAAAACUAAAGGAGAUUGAAAGCAUACUGAUCUAUUUUUCUUUUUUUUUUGUGUGUAUUUUGAAAAUUUUUGUAUUUACUUACAAUAAAAGUGCUUACAAAAUGUU